rnacentral:rRNA from 1 species
UUUUUCUUUGGGGUGAUAGAGGCCUACCAUGCCACUAACGGGUAACGGGGAAUUAGGGUUCGAUUCCGGAGAGGGAGCCUGAGAAACGGCUACCACAUCCAAGGAAGGCAGCAGGCGCGCAAAUUACCCAAUCCCGAUACGGGGAGGUAGUGACAAUAAAUAACAAUACAGGGCUCUUAUGGGUCUUGUAAUUGGAAUGAGUACAAUUUAAAUCCCUUAACGAGGAACAAUUGGAGGGCAAGUCUGGUGCCAGCAGCCGCGGUAAUUCCAGCUCCAAUAGCGUAUAUUAAAGUUGUUGCAGUUAAAAAGCUCGUAGUUGAAUUUCGGAGUUCUACCGUUGGUCGGGCAAUAGUCUGUACUGGCGUGUAGAAUUUCUACCUUCUGGGGAACCAUCAUGUUAUUUAUUUAGCGUGGUGGGAAACCAGGACCUUUACCUUGAAAAAAUUAGAGUGUUCAAAGCAGGCUUACGUCUGAAUACAUUAGCAUGGAAUAAUAAAAUAGGACGGUGGUCCUGUUUUGUUGGUUUCUGAAUCACCGUAAUGAUUAAUAGGGAUAGUUGGGGGCAUUAGUAUUCAAUUGUCAGAGGUGAAAUUCUUGGAUUUAUUGAAGACUAACUUCUGCGAAAGCAUUUGCCAAGGAUGUUUUCAUUAAUCAAGAACGAAAGUUAGGGGAUCGAAGACGAUCAGAUACCGUCGUAGUCUUAACCAUAAACUAUGCCGACUAGGGAUCGGACGAUGUUAAUUUUUCUUGACUCGUGCGGCGCCUACGGAACAGUUUUUGGGGGGGGAAAAAAAAGAGAGGGGCCA